rnacentral:rRNA from 1 species
UACAGAGGGGGCAAGCGUUGUUCGGAAUUACUGGGCGUAAAGGGCGCGUAGGCGGCCGCCUAAGUCAGACGUGAAAUCCCUCGGCUCAACCGGGGAACUGCGUCUGAUACUGGGUGGCUUGAAUCCGGGAGAGGGAUGUGGAAUUCCAGGUGUAGCGGUGAAAUGCGUAGAUAUCUGGAGGAACACCGGUGGCGAAGGCGGCAUCCUGGACCGAUAUUGACGCUGAUGCGCGAAAGCCAGGGGAGCAAACGGG